AAAACUUAGGUACAAUUCUCUAGAUGCUUUUCGUAUGGUUCUUAACUAAAAAUACAUAUUUUUGUGAUAUAACAAAUUUUGAGAAAAUUAUGGAUUUGAGGAAAUCAUGAUGAAUUUAGUUAAGAACCAUACGAAAAGCACCUAAGGAAUUGUACCUAAGUUUU
rfam:Medicago truncatula strain A17 chromosome 5, whole genome shotgun sequence.